GACGAACGCUGGCGGCAUGCCUAAUACAUGCAAGUCGAGCGAACAGAUGAAGUGCUUGCACUUCUGACGUUAGCGGCGAACGGGUGAGUAACACGUAAGGAAUCUACCUAUAAGCGGGGGAUAACAUUCGGAAACGGGUGCUAAUACCGCAUAAUAUCUUCUUCCGCAUGGAAGAAGAUUGAAAGACGGCUCUGCUGUCACUUAUAGAUGACCUUGCGGUGCAUUAGUUAGUUGGUGGGGUAGCGGCCUACCAAGACGAUGGUGCAUAGCCGACCUGAGAGGGUGAUCGGCCACAUUGGGACUGAGACACGGCCCAAACUCCUACGGGAGGCAGCAGUAGGGAAUCUUCCGCAAUGGGCGAAAGCCUGACGGAGCAAUGCCGCGUGAGUGAAGAAGGCCUUCGGGUCGUAAAACUCUGUUAUAAGAGAAGAACAAAUUGUAGAGUAACUGCUACAGUCUUGACGGUAUCUUAUCAGAAAGCCACGGCUAACUACGUGCCAGCCGCCGCCGUAA
rnacentral:rRNA from 1 species